rnacentral:rRNA from 1 species
UACGUAGGGGGGCUAGCGUUGUCCGGAAUCAUUGGGCGUAAAGCGCGUGUAGGCGGUCCGGUAAGUCCGCUGUGAAAGUCGGGGGCUCAACCCUCGGAUGCCGGUGGAUACUGUCGGGCUUGAGUACGGAAGAGGCGAGUGGAAUUCCUGGUGUAGCGGUGAAAUGCGCAGAUAUCAGGAGGAACACCAAUUGCGAAGGCAGCUCGCUGGGACGUUACUGACGCUGAGACGCGAAAGCGUGGGGAGCAAACAGG